rnacentral:lncRNA from 10 species
UGGAAAACAGUUCAGGUUCAGAUUCCAGGCCAAGGCAACCAGACACCAAUUGCAAAUCCAAGCUUGGGGAUUGUAUCUCUUUCACCACUUUGAGACACGUAAACUGCAUCUCUCCUCCCCCACAUAGCUUUUCUCUCCACCUAGGGAAACCUCAGGGAUGCUCCAAGUUGGACCCUCCAAAGCUAAGACAUGGGAGGGGUACUGGAGAAUCUCUGAACUGGCCUUCUCUAAAUUUAGAUGUGGACUCUGAGAGUCAGAAGGUGAGCUUGACCUAAGGAUGUGCUCCUGGGCACCUUUGUCUGAAGAGUUCUGGGGCCAGAUGAAAAAUCUGACUAUGUCUCUAGAUUUCCCUCAUCAACUGCAAGUGGGCUCUGGAAUUAGACCUGCCUGGUCAGGUCUCAACUGUACCACUCCAAUUGUAACUAGGUGAGUUUGGGUACAAGCUUAAUCUCUUUUUGCUUGAUCUCCUAAUCUGUAAAAUGGAAAGAACAGUUUGUCUCUUCCUUCCCCGACAGGAUUAUUGUAAAAAUUAAAUGAGGCUACCCACGUAAAGUUCUUGGCACACGGAAGGUGCCGCAGAAGUAUGAGUUAGUUUCUUCCUCCUGAGAAAGUCUAUACCCACCCACUCCAACCUCAUUCCAGUCCUCCUUUCAUGGGUCCAGUGUAAAAAUGAGGGGCUUCAGACUGGGCGCAAUCGCUCACACCUGGAAUCCCAGCUACUCAGAGCCUGAGUUGGGAGGAUUACUUGAGCUCAAGAGUUCAAGGCUGCAGUGAGCUGUGAUCGCACCACUGCCCUGUAGCCUGGGCAACAGACUGAGAGUGAUUGAUGCGUACCAGGCAUGUGUCCCAACUGUUCAAACCUGUGUCCACCCCCAGCCAGGCCAGCUGUCUGAAACACCAUUCAUGAGUCAUUCUUCCAGGCCACAAGGGCUUUAGGGAUCUGUGAGCUGCAAUGGCUGUAAGUGUUAGUCACUCUCAAUUACAGAAGGGGGUGAUCGUGCUGAUAAUCUGAAAACGUAGCUCCCCCUUGCUAUAGGGUUUCUAAAGCUCCAGGAACUCAGUCCAUCCUCAAGAGCAAAGCUGCACUGUGACCCUAAUUCCAUCCUCAGCAAGGCCAGAGAAGAGCCAGGGCCUGAGCACCGGGGGGCAGGGCUCUUCCCUAACCCCUCACUCAAACCUCCCUCUCUUCUCCAGGUAGAGCCAGUCCCAGUCCCUUGACCUGGCCACCGAGCUCUAGUUUCCAGCCAUUUCAUCACCUCUGGGUCCCUUCUCUGAAUCCUCUCCAGGUUCCCCUUGUCCCUCUCAAGCUGCCCAUCCAUCAACACCCGUUCCUAAGCUCCUGCCCUAUUCAGAUGACUGUACUCAGAGCUGGCCCUGGGGCUGCGGUCAGAGUCUGGCCAGGGUAGACAGAGUAUCCUGGGGAGAUGACCUCAUAAGCCCUCCCUCAUGGAGUAUUUUUAGGCAUCACUUUCCUCCCCCUCCCACUCAGCUUCCAUGCACUUCCAGUGCAGUCCAGAACUCUCCGGAAUCUCUAGGGUUGCUGCGACUCUUGUUGUUUUCCCAGUGUUUAAGGGGUGGAAACUGUAACUGCCCCUCCAAACACUCAACUCGUCAUCCUUUGAAUGAUUCUUUUUCAUUUCUACUCUGCUUCUUUUCGGAAAAUAAAGAUAGACUCUUGUCAAAUAUUGAGGGACUCCAACCAUCACCCCCGAGGCAGGCAAUUCCAGCUCCGUGGCUGCAUUCCCUCCUCUGUGUGGCUAUGAUGUGGUUUCCUUUGUUGCCAAUCUAGUUACAUGUCACAUAGACUAAAAUCCUGUGAGUCUGCCUCCUCCCCAAUGUGGGGAGAGUCCCAGAUCCUCUCCAAGAAUUCCAAGAGUGGCAUCCAGAGAUCUCAGAGUCCAAGAAGCAACAGCGUGUGACCACGAGAACCUGAGGCUGGAUCUCAAGAGGGAAUGCCCGACUCCCUGAUCCCUGGAACUGACAAGCUCAGGCAAGGCUGGCUGAGCUACUUCUAGGCAGCCAGGAAGAAUGGGAAUGAAGGAGAGAAGAGGAGGCAAAGGAGGUAGACACAAGACACAGAGUGGAGACACAGUAUGAGGUGUUCCAGGCUGGGAGGUGAACAGAAGAGGAAGCUGGAAGUAGAA